UUAAAAACUUGUGUACCCAAUAAAUAAAAAUUGUAUUUUUAUUUUCCAAGAAGAUUUUCAGUUCCUUCAAAUUUUUCUUUGCUCGGCAGAGCCCAGUCUGACAUCUUCUUGCAUACCCCACAACGCACUCACUUAAGAAAAAAGCAGGAAGGGGUUGGUUUCGAGGGUAAAAUGAACCCUACUUACUGUCUUCUCCUUCUUCCACUCGAUAAAGCUGGUUUUCUCUUGCAGAUUUGUGCUAGAGUGGUCCAUGAAAGCCUUUUGUAUGGGCCUCUCUCUCUCUCUCUCUCUCUCUCUCUCUCUCUCUCUCUCUCUCUGUCUCUCUCUCUCUCUCUCUCUCUCUCUCUCUCUCUCUCUCUCUCCCUUUCUGCUAUAUCAAGAGAGAGUGUGUGAGUGUGUGGGCGUGGAACUUUGUGAACAGAAGUUAGAAGAUUGAAGGGGAUGUGAGAUCUGAGGAGGUGAAAGUGCGUGCAGCUUGGAAAUUUCAAGUCCUGUCAUGCUUUUCCACAGCUUUCUUGAACUUCUUAUCUUCCAGUCUUUUGAUCUCUCUCUCUCUCUCUCUCUCUCUCUCUCUCUCUCUCUCUCUCUCUCUCUCAAAAAAGAUUGAAAAAAACAUCCUUAGAAGCUCAAGAAAGCUGUGGGAAAACAUGGCAAAUUCAGGAUUUUUUUUUUCAAGCCAUUGUGUUGCAGAGAAGAGAAAACUAUCUUGAUAUUCCUCUACACAUGUUGUGAAACUCAGCAGCUUCAGAUUCAUCUUUAUGGUUGCAACAUCACUUCAUUGGAUCUGAAUUCAUGAACCCAUCAAGAGAAAAGUUGAAGAACGUAGAAGAAAUGUCAGGACAAAGCACGUUUUCUCUCUCACACAUUCACCAUACGUGUUUUAGUUGGAGAGAGAGAGAGAGAGAGCAGGUAAGGAUCUGUUGCAAUUCUGACAUGUUUCGCUUUUCAUAUUAGUUAUUAAUAGUUUCUGCGAGUGAUUUUUUUUCCCAGACUUGUCAAGUUGGAAUGGUUGUUGGGUUGAAUCGCGCCGGAUGCUCUCAGCACGUAUGUUUUCUUGCUCCAGAUUCAGUGCAUCUCUGCAGAGGUAAUCCUAGUUUUCAGAUUCAAUCAAUGUUUAAAACAUAGUAUAGUUCUAUUUUUAUUUUUAUUUCAUUUUUCAAACAUGAAAAGAGUUGAAAAAAACCCAUCAGGUGAUUUUAAUAUUCAAAUUUGAAAACUAUACUGAAAUGCAAUUUUCAGCUAUAUUUUUGCUCAAUCAUGGUAAACCACACAGGCCAUAGAUAUACAUUUUCAAGAAGCUUCCAUCUCUUGGCCGUAAACAAGAAGCUUUCAAUACUUAAAUGGGUUCAAAUGGUUUUCAUCACACCAUGAAGCUUGCAAAUAUUUCUAGUUUAAUGCAAUUGAGAUGUUUUCCAGUCCACAUUUAUAUAUGCAGCCUAGAGAAUUAUGAGAUGAAAAGAUGGCUUUUGGUUCUCCAACUUCUCUAUAGUGAACAGAUUUGAGACCGUUGUGACCAGCAUUUGCGAAAAUCUCAUUGUGCAUACAUGCUGUGUCAAUAUAGUUCCAUCUCCCGCACAUAUAUAGCUCAGAAUAGUAAUUAGUUUUGUGGCAAGUAUUCAUUUCCUAGUUGUGACUAUGAUUAUCGUUAGUAUGUAUGAUACUACAUGUACUCUUGACUUUC